rnacentral:rRNA from 1 species
UGGGGAAUCUUGCGCAAUGGGCGAAAGCCUGACGCAGCGACGCCGCGUGAGGGAUGACGGCCUUCGGGUUGUAAACCUCUUUCAGCCGGGACGAAGCGAGAGUGACGGUACCGGCAGAAGAAGCACCGGCCAACUACGUGCCAGCAGCCGCGGUAAUACGUAGGGUGCAAGCGUUGUCCGGAAUUAUUGGGCGUAAAGAGCUCGUAGGCGGCUCGUCGCGUCGGCUGUGAAAACCUGGGGCUCAACCCCAGGCCUGCAGUCGAUACGGGCGAGCUAGAGUGCGGCAGGGGAGACUGGAAUUCCUGGUGUAGCGGUGGAAUGCGCAGAUAUCAGGAGGAACACCGAUGGCGAAGGCAGGUCUCUGGGCCGAAACUGACGCUGAGGAGCGAAAGCGUGGGGAGCGAACAGGAUUAGAUACCCCCGUAGUCC